AGUGAACGCUGGCGGCAGGCCUAAUACAUGCAAGUCGAACGGCAGCACAGCAGAGCUUGCUCUGUGGUGGCGAGUGGCGGACGGGUGAGGAAUACGUGGGAAUCUGCCCAGUCGUGGGGGAUAACGUAGGGAAACUUACGCUAAUACCGCAUGCGCCCUUCGGGGAAAGCCGGGGACCUUCGGGCCUGGCGCGAUUGGAUGAGCCCACGUCGGAUUAGCUAGUUGGCGGGUAAAGGCCCACCAAGGCGACGAUCCGUAGCUGGUCUGAGAGGAUGAUCAGCCACACUGGAACUGAGACACGGUCCAGACUCCUACGGGAGGCAGCAGUAGGGAAUAUUGGACAAUGGGCGCAAGCCUGAUCCAGCCAUGCCGCGUGAGUGAAGAAGGCCCUCGGGUUGUAAAGCUCUUUUGUCCGGAAAGAAAGCGCCGGGUUAAUACCCUGGUGUCCUGACGGUACCGGAAGAAUAAGCACCGGCUAACUUCGUGCCAGCAGCCGCGGUAAU
rnacentral:rRNA from 1 species